AUAAUAGUGAUAACAUAAGAAAAUUAGAACGGAGAAAAAAAUGGGGUUUGAAAUUAAAGUUUAUUCCAAGAUGAAAAAAGCUGAAAAGAUCUUCCUAAACUGUUGUACAAAACAAAAGCAAAAGCAAAAUAUGAUAGUUUUAUAAUCAUUACAGCCAACAUGCUUGCAACAAUUCCCUGAAGCCUUACUUCUGAACAAAGUCAUGCAUGAGAACUUAUUUCGAUAUGUACUUUUACCUUUAUGUAAAAACCAACCUUACAAUAGUGCAAUUAUAAGCACGCCAGAUUAAGAAAAAAAAAAGGUAUGCUUGUACUUCACUAUUGGAGAACUGUCACCAUGCCAACACUGCUCUGGACACACUGCAGGUUUGAGCAAAUGUUUUGCUUUAAGCAAAGUGCACUAGUUUAGCACGGUUGCCAAAUAUCAUCUUGGCCUUGGUCAAAAGCUAGAUGACAGUGUGGGAUGCUAUCACUGGGGUUCUAAUAGAAGGCUAUGAUUUUUGGAAAGCAUGUUACUGUAGGGCCAUUUUUUAUAAAUUAAAAAAAAUCACAUUCAAAUCAUCCUUAGCAACCUAAUCUCCUUUUUAAAUAUUUUAUUAAACACACACAGACUGUCCUGUACAAGAACAUGGAUGUUAUGGAGAAAGAAAGACAACCAGUCUGUAAAACCAGUGUGAUUGU